rnacentral:rRNA from 1 species
AUUGAACGCUGGCGGCAGGCCUAACGCAUGCAAGUCGAAUGGCAGCACAGAAGAGCUUGCUCUUUGGGUGGCGAGUGGCGGACGGGUGAGUAAUGUCUGGGAAACUGCCCGAUGGAGGGGGAUAACUACUGGAAACGGUAGCUAAUACCGCAUAACGUCGCGAGACCAAAGUGGGGGACCUUCGGGCCUCACACCAUCGGAUGUGCCCAGAUGCGGAUUAGCUAGUAGGUGCGGUAAUGGCUCACCUAGGCGACGAUCCCUAGCUGGUCUGAGGGGAGGACCAACCACACUGGAACUGAAGCACGGGCCAGACUCCUACGGGAGGCAGCAGUGGGGAAUAUUGCACAAUGGGCGCAAGCCUGAUGCAGCCAUGCCGCGUGUAUGAAGAAGGCCUUCGGGUUGUAAAGUACUUUCAGCGGGGAGGAAGGCGGUGAGGUUAAUAACCUCGCCGAUUGACGUUACCCGCAGAAGAAGCACCGGCUAACUCCGUGCCAGCCGCCGCGUAA